GGGCCAUAGCUGAGUGCUAAAGCAACUGCUUCGCAUGCAGAAACCCCAGGUUCAAUCCCCAGCAUCUCCA